UCAUAUAUAUAACACAUUAAUAGUACAAUAAUGAUUUAAAAAAAAGCUCGAUUUGCGUCAUAAGCUUCAUUAAAGAUUUAAUUUGUAAUUGCACUCUCACCCUUACAAUUAUCAGCAUUUUUUUACGUAAUUGUGUAAAUUGAAAAUGAAAUUACAAGGCAUCAUGUGGGAAUGAGGAUUAUUUCCCCUCCCAAUUCACUUGUGCUGAAUGUGAUACUCUUGAAAAAAAAGCUACUCUAAUAACACCUUAAAAUUAUACUCGAAAGUGACGCUUAAAUCACUCCUUCACACCUCAUUCUAAAAACUUCUUUCGAUGUUUAAAAAAAUAUCUUGAACAGUUGGGUAAGCGAAACCACUCUGCCACAUCAAGAACAUUUCCCGCCAAUAGACACUCGACCAAUAAUCGUUCUCUCUGCGUACGUAUCGUUUGGACACAGGGAAAGAGUUCAAUUCGCACACAAGACACGAACCCGUAGCUUUUCUGAUAGGGCGCCUUUUUUGUACUGUGUGUCUUUCCCAUCUUGGCUGUGACAGGCCAAGAUCAAUCGACACAUUUGUACAGCUUUUCUUUAAUGAUUUCACUCAAUUCCUCUUUUCUUCUCCCCGCCCUCCCACUCUGUGGCCCGUAUCGUUCACAUCAAUGUCGGCGUGCCAAUCUUGCUGUUCGCCGAAACUAAAAUUCCAACCGAAAACAAAACAAAAAGUGAAGUGUGAAUCGACAGCGCAUCAAAGGCAUCGGAGGCAAGUUGUCGCUUACGUGUUCUGCGGCGUGUUGGGCUUUUGCGCCCCGUUCCAAUUGUGCCGCUGCUGGUUUUGGUUGAAGCGAAGCGUGAAAAUAUAACCAGAAGUAAAGUGCCCCCCAAAAGUGAAUUCUGAUAAAACAAGCUCUGUGUGUCGUGGUGUGCGGUUUUUCGGUUGUUGUUUUUUCGCUCAAAUUUAUCCCCGAUAGCCCCAAAUGUGUGCGCGUGUGUAUGUUGUGCGUGUGUCCCGGUGAUAGUGCGGCUUGGUUCGGUUUGCUUCCAAAGUCUCCAAGGGCCGGUUCACGACACCGCGAAAGGACGCCAAGUGUGUCCUGACAUCGGGUAGAUUUGACGUGCGAAGGAGUGUUGUGGGAACGAGAGAGAGAGCACUACGGAAGGUUGGAAGUUGCUGCCGAAACGGUCGACUUCUGGAUUCCUGGUUCACGGUGCACAUUUGGCCGAUGUGUAGUUUAUUGAGCAAUUAACUGGAGAUAAAUAUUGCCGUUCAGGUCACAAAAUGAUGCGGCUUGGACUCUACCUUGCAGCGUCAUGGACGUUACUAUGUACCUACAGUGCCGCAAUGCCAGAUAUCCAUCAUCAAAUGUCCGCCGCCCAGCUGCAGGAAGUGUUUCACGUUGAUCACGUUGAUCUCGUACCGCACUACGAGCUGGUUAAGCUAACGCAUCACACAAACCGACCAGUCCUUGCCAGUUCCCGGCGGAAACGAAGCAUUGACUCUAGCUCCCCAGUUGCCAAACCGAACGGUUUGUCCACCGGAAGCAACAAUGCGAACCAUCACGUCAAGAAGGACCUCAGCAAGGUACGGUUCACCGAGAAGGUGAGCGAGCUGGUGGUGAAACCGGGCCAGCAGAAGAAAGCCGCCCCGAAGGAAGGUGAUCCCGGCCGGCUAGGGAUCCCGCUUGAGGCGGGUCCACGGGUAAACAGUGAUCAGCCCCAGCAGGUCGAUGAUACGGCCACGCUCGAACCGAUGGAGGGCGAUGUUAGCAUAGCUGACAUUAACGAGCACCGCGUAUCGUUCGAUGCAUUCGGGGAGAAUGUGAACCUGACGCUGAGGAAAACGGAAGGACUGUUGCGCGGUGGACCACACUCGCUACGGAUGUGGAACGUCCGUUCGGAUCCCAACUCAACGCAAGGUCUGGUUUACGAGGAGAUUCACGAUGAGGAUCCAGAACCGGCCGAUUCCUUCGGCGACAUCUACCAGGAUGAGGAAAACAUGGCAGCGGUGCUGAUGCGAAAGCACUUGGAAAGUGGAGAUCUAAUGAUGGAGGGUAGUAUAGGUCAUGAACUAGUGAUAAAGCCAGUGCCAACCGACAUCUCCCAGGAGGAGGAUGGAAGUGUUCAUCACGUUAUUUAUAAGCGCAAAACUCCGGAGGAGCACAGCGAUCAAUUUAGUGAUUACGCGUUCAUGGAACCGGACCGGCUGCAGAAACGGUUUCGUGCCAAACGGAGCCCGCAAGCCUACUACAAGAACUCGCGCGCCAUCCAGCAGGUCAUCUAUCCGGAGAUACUGGUCAUCGUCGACUACGACGGGUACCGGCUGCACGGUGGCGAUAAUGUGCAGGUCAAGCGCUACUUUGUCUCCUUCUGGAACGGUGUCGAUCUGCGGUACCGGUUACUAAAGGGACCGAAAAUUCGCAUCAGCAUCGCGGGCAUCAUUAUCUCACGGGGCCGUGAUGCAACCCCAUACCUGGAACGGAACCGUGUCGGACGGGAUGCGAUCGAUUCGGCGGCCGCCCUCACCGAUAUGGGGAAGUACCUGUUCCGGGAACGAAGGCUCCCGGUGUACGAUAUUGCCGUUGCCAUCACGAAACUAGAUAUGUGUAGAAGGCAAUAUGCAAAUGACGCGUGUAAUCGCGGUACUGCAGGAUUCGCCUAUGUCGGUGGAGCGUGCGUGGUAAACAAGCGCCUUGAAAAGGUCAACAGUGUUGCCAUCAUUGAGGAUACCGGCGGUUUCAGUGGCAUUAUCGUUGCCGCCCAUGAAGUUGGUCAUCUCCUUGGUGCCGUCCACGAUGGUUCACCACCGCCAAGCUAUCUCGGUGGACCGGGUGCGGAAAAGUGUCGCUGGGAGGAUGGCUACAUCAUGUCCGAUCUGCGACACACCGAGCGAGGUUUCCGUUGGUCACCGUGCAGUGUGCAAAGUUUCCACCAUUUCCUCAAUGGUGACACUGCCAGCUGCCUGCACAAUCCACCGCACGAGGAUGAAGCGCUUGGACGGGCCUUGCCCGGUACGCUACUCUCCCUGGACGCCCAGUGUCGGCGCGAUCGUGGAACGUCGGCCUGCUUCAAGGAUGAGCGUGUAUGUGCCCAGCUGUUCUGUUUCGAUUCGGCCAGCGGUUACUGUGUCGCUUACCGGCCCGCCGCUGAAGGAUCCUCCUGUGGAGAUGGACAACACUGUCUCGAUGGUAGAUGUGUUGCGGAGCAUGAAAACAUUAUACCGGACUAUUCGCAACACACUCCAUCGUACACGCGCUACAAUCAGCAGUCUGUAAAAUAUAACUACGACGACAAGUCAGAUCAGCAGGAAGAAUAUUAUGAACCAUCUAGCACGCCAACGACAUCAACGACAACCAGCACCACCACCACCACCACCACAACAACAACCACCACAACAACAACACCACCACCGCCGCCAGCGACAUCGACGAGGAAUUAUUACCAGUAUUUCCAUCACAAGUCCACGAGUACCUAUCCCAAUGAUUACCAUACAGCUAAAAGCCCUAGCUCUAGUGAUAAUGGUAAUGGUAAUGGCAACCAAUAUCACAACAACAACAACAACAACUACGGCAACAACAAUUACAAUCAGUACAAUCCGACGACCAAGUCGACACCGUACAGUACGAAACCGACGACCAAGACACCGUACGUGUUCAGUAAAUACACCUUCAGUUCGACCAAAAGUCCAACGACGACCACCACGCAUCGACCGUCCUGGAACAAUGGCAACCGUGAGGAUGACAAUAGUAACGCACUACAGCACUACAGCCAACAGCAACAACCGCACCAACAACAGCACUACCACAACCAACAACAGCAGAACAAUUAUCCGCAUCAGUACGGUGGGGAUGGUGGAUACGAUCAGGGUGGACAUGAUGCCGGUCCAUCACCUACCAUCACCACCACCACCACACGCAAACCGAAAGCGACCUACCAUCCGGUGUUCGAUGUGUACUUCAACCGGAUCGCACAAACGACCACACGCAAUCCGUACAACUUUUCCUACUUUGCCAAACGCACCACCACUGCCGCGAAAAGCUCACCGAACUACGCACUGAAUGGCAACUAUCUCGGCGCAAACAGUCAGCUCAGUGUGGCCAGUGUUGCCAGCGCUCAGCAACCGGUUACCGGUGGUAACGGUGUUACAUCGGCACGUACCGGACGUUACUACUGAACCAUUGGAACACGUACGCCACACACACACACACACACACACACACACACAGGGGAGAACCUCAGUAAUGUUACUGUUUCAUUUCUGAAAGUGUGCGUGUGUGAAUGAGUUUGGCUGUUUCGCUCAUGUUUUUAUAUACCUGCUGCACUGUAACGAGGGUAUAACGCUUUUGAUACUAAAAAAAACACACACACUUACUUCCCAUCGACUAGCAGUUGCGUUACCGAACGUUAACAUCCGUUUUAGGAAUGUGUCGUUUGCGGGCUUGUGUGCGUACUGUUUAGUCGUUGGUUCAAUUUUGUCCAUUUUUUCUCUCCUUGCUGUUUUUUUUGCACUUUUUUGUCCAAUGUAUUUUUUCUCUCUUUUCUUCUGCAAUGAUAUGUUUUGCUUAUGACUUUUUGAAUAGAGUUUUUUUUUUACUUCUAUUUGUUUGCACUUUUGUAUGUUUAUUUUCAAUCUUGUUUUUUUUUCAUUUCUCGUUUAAUGGUUGUUUUUAAUAGUCUUACUCUUUGCACAUGUUUCUUUUUUACAAACAAAAAAAAACCUUCAAACCCAUACGUUCGUUACACGUUCUUGAAGAGGAAAACUAAAGCCAAGGCACGUGGCGUAUAUAAAAAAAGACGGUACAAAGCGUUUGAAACAAAUCCAUGAUACGAUGAUAACCUUAGUGCGUAAGUUUUGUAAACUCAAAAGUCUGCCAAUUGCACAAAAAAUUAGACUGUGGUCCAUUUUAAGAUUCAUUUUGCUCGCGGAAACGAUACAACGAUUCAUUAAAUCAAGCAUUUACCAUUUAUUGAUUUUCUUACUACGUUACUCUAUACGUCUUAUACGUUACUAUGUAUUUCAACUUCCAACACUAGUGGAUAAGUCAACGUAAGCUACAAUAUACAGUGUAACGCUUAAUAUUAACUGUGGCCAAGCAAUGGAAGGGAUAGGAAAAGCUAUACAAAAAAAAACGAAACGUUUUUCAAGCAAACAUUUUCGCUGGAUUUCGAAAAUUUUGCUUUUGCUGCUUACAUUGGGCCAAAGGCUGAUCCGUUCGGUGACACCAACGCAUACACGCAUACGCUACACCUUCAAAAUGGUGCGUUACGCACCGUGUUGAUUGAUCUUAUGCAAACAAAGUGUUGGAGAAAGGACACGAGCAAAAUACAAAAAACACACAUACAGGCGAAAACACUUUCUCGUUGUGUGUGACAGCACGCAUCAGUGAUCGCACCCAUUUACGAUCGAUAUUAUCGGAUUCCCUAAGUCCUCAUACCAUAAGGUCCAUCUGGAACCGUCGCUAUAUCUGAUGGUUGGACGUAACAAAAUCGAACCC